rnacentral:rRNA from 1 species
GACGAACGCUGGCGGCGUGCCUAAUACAUGCAAGUAGAACGCUGAAGGAGGAGCUUGCUUCUCUGGAUGAGUUGCGAACGGGUGAGUAACGCGUAGGUAACCUGCCUGGUAGCGGGGGAUAACUAUUGGAAACGAUAGCUAAUACCGCAUAAGAGUAGAUGUUGCAUGACAUUUGCUUAAAAGGUGCAAUUGCAUCACUACCAGAUGGACCUGCGUUGUAUUAGCUAGUUGGUGGGGUAACGGCUCACCAAGGCGACGAUACAUAGCCGACCUGAGAGGGUGAUCGGCCACACUGGGACUGAGACACGGCCCAGACUCCUACGGGAGGCAGCAGUAGGGAAUCUUCGGCAAUGGACGGAAGACUGACCGAGCAACGCCGCGUGAGUGAAGAAGGUUUUCGGAUCGUAAAGCUCUGUUGUAAGAGAAGAACGAGUGUGAGAGUGGAAAGUUCACACUGUGACGGUAUCUUACCAGAAAGGGACGGCUAACUACGUG